rnacentral:rRNA from 1 species
AUUGAACGCUGGCGGCAGGCCUAACACAUGCAAGUCGAACGAGAGGCGGACGGGUGAGUAAUGUCUGGGAAACUGCCUGAGGGAGGGGGCUAAAUACUGGAAACGGUAGCUAAUACCGCAUACCAUCAGAUGUGCCCAGCUGGGAUUAGCUUGUAGGGGGGGUAACGGCUCACCGAGGCGACGAUCCCUAGCUGGUCUGAGAGGAUGACCAGCCACACUGGAACUGAGACACGUUCCAGACUCCUACGGGAGUCAGCAGUGGGGAAUAUUGCACAAUGGGCGCAAGCCUGAUGCAGCCAUGCCGCGUGUAUGAAGAAGGCCUUCGGGUUGUAAAGUACUUUCAGCGAGGAGGCGUUACCCGCAGAAGAAGCACCGGCUAACUCCGUGCCAGCAGCCGCGGUAAUAC